AGUGAACGCUGGCGGUAGGCCUAACACAUGCAAGUCGAACGGCAGCACAGUAAGAGCUUGCUAUUACGGGUGGCGAGUAGCGGACGGGUGAGGAAUACAUCGGAAUCUACUUUUUCGUGGGGGAUAACGUAGGGAAACUAACGCUAAUACCGCAUACGACCUACGGGUGAAAGCAGGGAAUCUUCGGACCUUGCGCGAUUGACUGAGCCGAUGUCGGAUUAGCUAGUUGGAGGGGUAAAGGCCCACCAAGGCGACGAACCGUAGCUGGUCUGAGAGGAUGAUCGGCCGCACUGGAAGGGAACCAGCGACCCGGGUCCUGAGGGACGGAGCAGUGGGGAAUGGUGGGCAAUGGGCGGAAGCCUUGUCCAACCAUACCACGUCGGAUAAAGAAGCCCUCGGGUUGUGAAGCCCGUUUUUUGGGUAAAAAAAGCAGCCAGUUAAGACCCCGCUGAUCUGACGGUACCCAAAGAAUAAGCACCGGCUAACUUCGUG
rnacentral:rRNA from 1 species